UGUGCAAAUCGACAAAAUUUGUGCUCACACAGAGAAGUAACGUCUUUCAAACUGUUCAUGUCCUGCGUGAUAACGCCAAGAUCAGUUUGUGAAUAAGGAAGAGCAGGUGCAACCUGGAGUUCAUAUUUGGAACAGGAGCAACUGGGAGCUCAUAGAUAUGGACAGGAGUGACAGGCAAGUGUUCACCGUUAGGCUGGAAUCCAGCAGUCCACGUUGAAGUAAACUUCUGGCCUUCAGAGGAAACCCAGCAAGAUGACCCUUUGGUGGUGUUGGCUAUGACUUCGUCAUUAGUUUCUUUUCUGUAAGAGUCGUAGGUAAUUCUUUGCAUUUUCCUCUGAACUUGACAUUCUUCAGGGGUAGUGUAGUCAUACUGGGCAUAGCUUUAGGUUGGAAAAAUAAAUUUUUUUUAAUGUGA